GGUCCCCUAGUCUAAAGGUCAGGACGUCGCCCUUUCAAGGCGAAGAUGCUGGGUUCAAGUCCCGUGGGGAUCA
rnacentral:tRNA from 1 species